rnacentral:lncRNA from 1 species
CUUAUAUCUAGGAGGCUAGACCAAAUUUGGUUUAUAUGACAUUGAAUCAUGUCUCAGACUUAUGGUUCAUAUUCUGUUACAUUGAUUCUAUAAUCAUGCAUUAACUUCUGUCGAGCUUUUUCUGGGCAUUUCUGUGUUUUAGUUAAUACUCUUCUCCUCGCAAAGUGCCUAUAUCUUUUAGCUUCCUCUGGGUCAAAAGAUAUGAACCUUCACCUGGCAUCAGGUUUUUGAAUUGAUAAUUUGUUGAUGUCUGCUGAUUUAUCUUUCAAGUGUGACAUU